rnacentral:rRNA from 1 species
AACGAACGCUGGCGGCAUGCCUAACACAUGCAAGUCGAACGACACCUUCGGGUCUAGUUGCGCACGGGUGCGUAACGCGUGGGAACCUGCCCUUAGGUUCGGAAUACCUCCCCGUAAGGGGUGCUAAUACCGGAUAAUGUCUUCGGACCAAACAUUUAUCGCCUUUGGAUGGGCCCGCGUUGGAUUAGCUAGUUGGUAUGGUAAAAGCCUACCAAGGCGAGGAUACAUAGCUGGUCUGAGAGGAUGAUCAGCCACACUGGGACUGAGACACGGCCCAGAAUCCUACGGGAGGCAGCAGAGGGGAAUAUUGGACAACGGGCGAAAGCCUGAUCCAGCAAUGCCGCGUGAGUGAUGAAGGCCUUAGGGUUGUAAAGCUCUUUUACCCGGGAUGAUAAUGACAGUACCGGGAGAAUAAGCACCGGCUAACUCCGUG